UACAGAGGGUGCAAGCGUUGCUCGGAAUCAUUGGGCGUAAAGGGCAAGUAGGUGGUCUCAUUUGUCUGAUGUGAAAGCCUUGGGCUUAACCCAAGAAGUGCGUCAGAAACGGUGAGACUCGAGUUCUGGAGAGGGUCGUGGAAUUCCCGGUGUAGCGGUGAAAUGCGUAGAGAUCGGGAGGAACACCAGAGGCGAAGGCGGCGACCUGGGACAGAUACUGACACUCAACUGCGAAAGCGUGGGGAGCAAACAGGG
rnacentral:rRNA from 1 species